GAGUGCCCUGACUGUAAGACUCUCUGGAUAAGAGUGUCUGCUAAAUGACUAAAA
rfam:Salmo salar isolate Sally breed double haploid chromosome ssa19, whole genome shotgun sequence.